GAUGGGAGCUUGCUCCCUGAUGUUAGCGGCGGACGGGUGAGUAACACGUGGGUAACCUGCCUGUAAGACUGGGAUAACUCCGGGAAACCGGGGCUAAUACCGGAUGCUUGUUUGAACCGCAUGGUUCAAACAUAAAAGGUGGCUUCGGCUACCACUUACAGAUGGACCCGCGGCGCAUUAGCUAGUUGGUGAGGUAAUGGCUCACCAAGGCAACGAUGCGUAGCCGACCUGAGAGGGUGAUCGGCCACACUGGGACUGAGACACGGCCCAGACUCCUACGGGAGGCAGCAGUAGGGAAUCUUCCGCAAUGGACGAAAGUCUGACGGAGCAACGCCGCGUGAGUGAUGAAGGUUUUCGGAUCGUAAAGCUCUGUUGUUAGGGAAGAACAAGUACCGUUCGAAUAGGGCGGUACCUUGACGGUACCUAACCAGAAAGCCACGGCUAACUACGUGCCAGCAGCCGCGGUAAUACGUAGGUGGCAAGCGUUGUCCGGAAUUAUUGGGCGUAAAGGGCUCGCAGGCGGUUCCUUAAGUCUGAUGUGAAAGCCCCCGGCUCAACCGGGGAGGGUCAUUGGAAACUGGGGAACUUGAGUGCAGAAGAGGAGAGUGGAAUUCCACGUGUAGCGGUGAAAUGCGUAGAGAUGUGGAGGAACACCAGUGGCGAAGGCGACUCUCUGGUCUGUAACUGACGCUGA
rnacentral:rRNA from 1 species